rnacentral:rRNA from 1 species
AGUGAACGCUGGCGGUAGGCCUAACACAUGCAAGUCGAACGGCAGCACAGUAAGAGCUUGCUCUUACGGGUGGCGAGUGGCGGACGGGUGAGGAGUACAUCGGAAUCUACUUUUUCGGGGGGGAUAACGUAGGGAAACUUACGCUAAUACAGCAUACGACCUACGGGGGAAAGCAGGGGAAAUUCGGACCUUGCGCGAUUGAAUGAGCCGAUGUUGGAUUAGCUAGUUGGCGGGGUAAAGGCCAACUAAGGCGGCGAUCCGUAGCUGGUCUGAGAGAAUGGUCGGCGGCACUGGAAGUGGGACAGGGUCAAGGCUCCUGCGGGAGGCAGCAGUGGGGAAUAGUGGGCAGUGGGGGCAAGCAUGACCCAGCGAGACGGAGUGGGUGAAGGAGGCCUUCGGGUUGUAAAGCCCUUUUGUUGGGAGUGAAACGCAUCAGGUUAAUACGCCGCUGUUGUGACGGUACCCAAUGAAUAAGCACCGGCUAACUACGUG